rnacentral:rRNA from 1 species
GUCGAUACGCUCCACUUCACGGGCGAUCAGGCCAUAGCACACGUAGUUCAGGCCACUGCCACCAUAGGCCUCAGGAAUGGUCGCACCCAACAAGCCGGUUUCGCCCAUUUCGCGGAAGAUCUUCGGAUCGGUCUGCUCAUGACGGAAGGCUUCCAGCACGCGGGGCGCCAGCUUGUCGUCAGCGAACUGCUGGGCGCUAUCACGCACCAUGCGCUCUUCUUCGGUCAGUUGCUGAUCGAGCAGCAGCGGUCGACGCGGCCGGGUAGUCCUGGCCGUAAACGAUGGGUACUAGGUGUAGGAGGUAUCGACCCCUUCUGUGCCGGAGUUAACGCAAUAAGUACCCCGCCUGGGGAGUACGGCCGCAAGGCUGAAACUCAAAGGAAUUGACGGGGGCCCGCACAAGCGGUGGAGUAUGUGGUUUAAUUCGACGCAACGCGAAGAACCUUACCAAGGCUUGACAUUGAAUGACCAUCUUAGAGAUAAGAUUUUCCCUUCGGGGACAUGAAACAGGUGGUG